UAUAUAUUGAAUCGUAUUAUUUAAAAAAUUCUGUAACCAUAUGAUUUAUCAUGUCAUCUAUGCAAUUGUAGUGGAUUUUCAGGUGUCAUCAACUGGACAAAACAUGAGGACAUUUUUCGAAAGGACUAUCUUUUGAUAGUCGAGAAUGUUCUUGGAAACCACUGGAGACUCAUGAUUGUGUACUUCCCUGGAAACGAAGAAGUGGAACAUAUCAAAAGGGGGCGAAAACUGGUGCAAUCAAGGAGGCCUUGCAUUUUAAUGCUAGACUCCCAAUCUGGGCAAGUGAGUGACAGCAUGGAUGUGUUUCAAAACAUUCGAAGUUACUUAACAGAAAUGUGGAAAAACACAAGAAAAACACCCCGGAUAUUUUCUGCAGAGUCUAUGCCAGCCCUGAAAUUGAGGGUACCUGAACAGCAAGGAAACACUUCUGAGUGUGGCAUAUUUGUAUUACUAAAUUUUAUUAUUAAAUUUCUGAAGGUAAGUUCUGAAAGUAAAAAGUAAAAUCAUGGCACUGUGCAUGUCACUAAAAGAAAACAAAUGAUUAAUGUUUCAAUUCCUUCCUCUAGGAUCCUCCCAAAGAACUAAUCAAUGAGCUUGACUGUACAUCCUGGUUUACACUGGCCGAUGCAUUUUCAAGGCGUGCGCAGAUCAGGGACAAAAUGCGAAGCAGUUUAUAAGCACAGAGAAGUGAAGCAGAGGAAAACAAAGCAGAAGAAAGAGAAAGUGAAGAAGAGCAAACAGUUAACGAGAGAGGGCAAGAGGAAAACAUAGCCAAGAAAAGAAAAAUAGAAGGUAGAGAUGAAGAAAACAUACCUGAGGAAAGAAAAGAUGACAAAACAGCUCAGGGAGGAAACUAUACAGUUCUGGGAAGGCUGUCAGUGCCAGGCACCAAAAGAAAAUACACAGUGACUCAAGAUGAACUGAAGAGGAGAAUAAAGGCAGAAAACAUGUCAAACAACAUG